rnacentral:rRNA from 1 species
UGCAAGUCGAGCGGAAACGAGUUAUCUGAACCUUCGGGGAACGAUAACGGCGUCGAGCGGCGGACGGGUGAGUAAUGCCUAGGAAAUUGCCUUGAUGUGGGGGAUAACCAUUGGAAACGAUGGCUAAUACCGCAUGAUGCCUACGGGCCAAAGAGGGGGACCUUCGGGCCUCUCGCGUCAAGAUAUGCCUAGGUGGGAUUAGCUAGUUGGUGAGGUAAUGGCUCACCAAGGCGACGAUCCCUAGCUGGUCUGAGAGGAUGAUCAGCCACACUGGAACUGAGACACGGUCCAGACUCCUACGGGAGGCAGCAGUGGGGAAUAUUGCACAAUGGGCGCAAGCCUGAUGCAGCCAUGCCGCGUGUAUGAAGAAGGCCUUCGGGUUGUAAAGUACUUUCAGCAGUGAGGAAGGGGGUGUCGUUAAUAGCGGCAUCUCUUGACGUUAGCUGCAGAAGAAGCACCGGCUAACUCCGUGCCAGCAGCCGCGGUAAUACGGAGGGUGCGAGCGUUAAUCGGAAUUACUGGGCGUAAAGCGCAUGCAGGUGGUUUGUUAAGUCAGAUGUGAAAGCCCGGGGCUCAACCUCGGAACUGCAUUUGAAACUGGCAAACUAGAGUACUGUAGAGGGGGGUAGAAUUUCAGGUGUAGCGGUGAAAUGCGUAGAGAUCUGAAGGAAUACCAGUGGCGAAGGCGGCCCCCUGGACAGAUACUGACACUCAGAUGCGAAAGCGUGGGGAGCAAACAGGAUUAGAUACCCUGGUAGUCCACGCCGUAAACGAUGUCUACUUGGAGGUUGUGGCCUUGAGCCGUGGCUUUCGGAGCUAACGCGUUAAGUAGACCGCCUGGGGAGUACGGUCGCAAGAUUAAAACUCAAAUGAAUUGACGGGGGCCCGCACAAGCGGUGGAGCAUGUGGUUUAAUUCGAUGCAACGCGAAGAACCUUACCUACUCUUGACAUCCAGAGAACUUUCCAGAGAUGAAUUGGUGCCUUCGGGAACUCUGAAACAGGUGCUGCAUGGCUGUCGUCAGCUCGUGUUGUGAAAUGUUGGGUUAAGUCCC